CCUACGGGUGGCAGCAGUGGGGAAUAUUGGGCAAUGGGCGCAAGCCUGACCCAGCAACGCCGCGUGAAGGAAGAAGGCUUUCUGGUUAUAAACUUCUUUUAAGGGGGAAGAGAAGCAGACGGUACCCCUUGAAUCAGCCACGACUAACUACGUGCCAGCAGCCGCGGUAAUACGUAGGUGGCAAGCGUUGUCCGGAUUUACUGGGUGUAACGGGCGUGCAGCCGGGAGGACAAGUCAGAUGUGAAAUCCCGCGGCUCAACCUCGGAACUGCAGUUGAAACUGUUUUUCUUGAGUACCGGAGAGGUCAUCGGAAUGCCUUGUGUAGCGGUGAAAUGCGUAGAUAUAAGGAAGAACACCAGUGGCGAAGGCGGAUGACUGGACGGCAACUGACGGUGAGGCGCGAAAGCGUGGGGAGCAAACAGGAUUAGAUACCCUAGUAGUC
rnacentral:rRNA from 1 species